AUCCAGCUGACGAGACCCAAAUAGGGGGAAACGCGCGUCCUGAAU
rfam:Schistosoma rodhaini strain Burundi genome assembly, scaffold: SROB_scaffold0001981